CCUACGGGAGGCAGCAGUAGGGAAUCUUCCACAAUGGGCGAAAGCCUGAUGGAGCAACGCCGCGUGGGUGAAGAAGGUCUUCGGAUCGUAAAACCCUGUUGUUAGAGAAGUAAGUGCGUGAGAGUAACUGUUCACGUUUCGACGGUAUCUAACCAGAAAGCCAAGGCUAACUACGUGCCAGCAGCCGAUGUAAUACGUAGGUGCCAAGCGUUAUCCGGAUUUAUUGCGGGUAAAGGGAACGCAGGCGGUCUUUUAAGUCUGAUGUGAAAGCCUUCGGCUUAACCGGAGUAGUGCAUUGGAAACGGGGAGUCUUGAGUGCAGAAGAGGAGAGUGGAACUCGAUGUGUAGCGGUGAAAUGCGUAGAUAUAUGGAAGAACACCAGUGGCGAAAGCGGCUCACUGGUCUGUAACUGACGCUGAGGUUCGAAAGCGUGGGUAGCAAACAGGAUUAGAUACCCCAGUAGUC
rnacentral:rRNA from 1 species